rnacentral:siRNA from 1 species
CUAUCACAUGUCAAGUUUGGCCU